GACAGAGGGUGCAAACGUUGUUCGGAAUUACUGGGCGUAAAGCGCGUGUAGGCGGCUAUGCAAGUCGGAUGUGAAAGCCCUCGGCUUAACCGGGGAACUGCGUCUGAUACUGGAUGGCUUGAGAUUGGGAGAGGGAUGCGGAAUUCCAGGUGUAGCGGUGAAAUGCGUAGAUAUCUGGAGGAACACCGGUGGCGAAGGCGGCAUCCUGGACCAACACUGACGCUGAGGAGCGAAAGCCAGGGGAGCAAACGGG
rnacentral:rRNA from 1 species